UGUAUUGGUUGAACAACAAAACGACCCUUAUUUAUUGUUACCCUGGCAACCCGCCGUGUUUGAUUGACGUUUGAUUUAAUAAUUCUGAUACAACUCAUAAUUCUAAUCUAAUAGAAACUCCAAAACCUCAGACAAAGAGGACUAGAAUUUUACAUAAAAAGCCGCGUUCUGCAGUACAAAAGUUAGAAGAGGCAUCUCAAAUAGUGGAAAGUGCCAAACUCCGCAACACGGUAGUGUUCCAGUGUUUCCAGGAAGAGCACGAAA